rnacentral:rRNA from 1 species
GUAAUAAGGUCGUCCGGGUAGCCGUAGGUAACGAAAAGGGGUAGGAAUCUGCCUGGUAGUGGGGGAUAACGCUCGGAAACGGACGCUAAUACCGCAUACGUCCUACGGGAGAAAGCAGGGGACCUUCGGGCCUUGCGCUAUCAGAUGAGCCUAGGUCGGAUUAGCUAGUUGGUGGGGUAAUGGCUCACCAAGGCGACGAUCCGUAACUGGUCUGAGAGGAUGAUCAGUCACACUGGAACUGAGACACGGUCCAGACUCCUACGGGAGGCAGCAGUGGGGAAUAUUGGACAAUGGGCGAAAGCCUGAUCCAGCCAUGCCGCGUGUGUGAAGAAGGUCUUCGGAUUGUAAAGCACUUUAAGUUGGGAGGAAGGGCAGUUACCUAAUACGUAUCUGUUUUGACGUUACCGACAGAAUAAGCACCGGCUAACUCUGUGCCAGCAGCCGCGUUAAUACUUAGGGUGCAAGCGUGAAUCGCAAUUACUGAGCGUAUUCUGUGCGA